CCGGAGCGUCGAGGCGCUGGCGGACCGACCCGCCGGCAGUUGGCACUGGGGACGCUGGCGCGUCGGUCGCUCCGCUCUCCCGCCGGCAGCCUCGGGCGCCCGGAGCCAGCGGUCCAGGCGGCGGCGCCGCGCAGGGGGCCGGGAUCGGGCGGCAGGAGGCUGCGGGGCGGGAGUCGGCGGCGGCGGAGGAGGCGGAGGCCGGCCGGAGCCCGGAUCGCGCCCCAGCCUCGCUUGCAGCCCAGAGCUUGGGGCUCGGCGCCCGUCCGGCCCACAGCCACAUGGCUCCUCUCUGUGCACGGCUGUCCUGCCUGUUGCUCUUGCACUGUGCGCUCUGCGCCGCCGCGGGCAGCGGGACUGAAGAGCUGCGCUUCUCAAGAAAACUCAGUGACUAUGGCGUGACAGUGCCCUGCAGCACAGAUUCUCAGGGACGCUUCCUCUCGCAUGUGGUGUCCGGACCAGCGGCAGCCUCCGCAGGGAGUGUGAAGGGGGACGGGCCGCCCUCACCACUGUCACACUCCGGUCGCCUGCGGGUGGCUCGAAGCCCACUGCGCCCUGAAGGCGUGACCCUGCAGCCUGGCAGGAUGGGGCGCGCCUCCCUGUACUUCAACGUCACUGUGUUCGGGGAGGAACUGCACUUACACCUGUGGCCCAACCGGCGGCUGGUUGUGCCGGGAGCCUCGGUGGAGUGGCAGGAGGAUUUUCAGGAGCUGUUCAGGCAGCCCUUGCGGAGAGAGUGUGUCUACACCGGGGGUGUCACGGGCAUGCCAGGGGCAGCUGUCGCCAUCAGCAACUGCGAUGGAUUGGCUGGCCUCAUCCGCACGGACAGCACCGACUACUUCAUCGAGCCCGUCGAGCGAGGGCAGCAGGAGAUGGAGGCCGGCGGGAGGAAGCACGUGGUAUACCGGCGGGAAGUCAUCAGGCAGCCAUGGACAGAGCCCCUCGGGGACCUUCACAAUGAAGCUUUUGGCCUGGGUGACCUUCCCAACCUGCUGGGCCUGGUGGGGGACCGGCUAGGAGAAGCAGAGCGGAAGCGGCGACACGCCACGCCGGGCAGCUACAGCAUCGAGGUGCUGCUGGCGGUGGACGACUCAGUGGUGCGCUUCCACGGCAGGGAGCAUGUGCAGAACUACGUCCUCACCCUCAUGAAUAUCGUGGAUGAGAUUUACCACGAUGAGUCCCUGGGGGUCCACAUAAACAUCGCCCUUGUCCGCUUGAUCAUGGUUGGCUACCGACAGUCACUGAGCCUGAUUGAGCAUGGGAACCCCUCUCGCAGCCUGGAGCAGGUGUGUCGCUGGGCCCACUCUCAGCAGCGCCAGGACCCUGGCCAUGCAGAGCACCAUGAUCACGUUGUCUUCCUCACUCGGCAGGACUUCGGACCCUCAGGUAUGCAAGGGUAUGCUCCUGUCACUGGCAUGUGCCACCCCCUGAGAAGCUGUGCCCUCAACCAUGAAGACGGCUUCUCCUCGGCCUUUGUGGUGGCCCACGAGACUGGCCAUGUGCUCGGCAUGGAGCAUGAUGGUCAGGCGAACGGCUGUGCGGAUGAGACCAGCCUGGGCAGUGUCAUGGCGCCCCUGGUGCAGGCCGCCUUCCACCGCUUCCACUGGUCUCGCUGCAGCAAGCUGGAGCUCAGCCGCUACCUCCCCUCCUAUGACUGUCUCCUUGACGACCCCUUUGCGCCUGCCUGGCCCCAGCCCCCCGAGCUGCCUGGCAUUGACUACUCAAUGGAUGAGCAGUGUCGCUUCGACUUUGGCACCGGGUACCACACCUGCUCGGCGUUCAGGACCUUCGAGGCCUGCAGGCAGCUGUGGUGCAGCCACCCCGACAACCCGUACUUCUGCAAGACCAAGAAGGGGCCCCCGCUGGAUGGGACUGAGUGCGCGCCAGGCAAGUGGUGCUUCAAAGGUCACUGCAUCUGGAAGUCGCCGGAGCAGACUUAUGGCCAGGACGGAGGCUGGAGCUCCUGGACCAAGUUCGGGUCGUGUUCACGGUCCUGUGGGGGCGGGGUUCGAUCCCGUAGCCGGACCUGUGACAAUCCCCCCCCAGCUUACGGAGGCCGCAUGUGCUCAGGGCCCAUGUUCCAGUACCAGAUCUGCAACAGCGAGGAGUGUCCAGGGCCCUACGAGGACUUCCGGGCCCAGCAGUGUGCCAAGCGCAGCUCCUACUACGUCCACCAGAACGCCAAGCACAGCUGGAUCCCCUAUGAGCCGGACGAUGACGCCCAGAAGUGUGAACUGAUCUGCCAGUCAGAGGACACAGGGGACGUGGUCUUCAUGAACCAGGUGGUCCAUGAUGGGACUCGCUGCAGCUACCGCGACCUGUACAGUGUCUGUGCCCGCGGCGAGUGUGUGCCCGUCGGCUGUGACAAGGAAGUGGGGUCCAUGAAGGCAGAUGACAAGUGUGGGGUCUGUGGCGGGGACAACUCCCACUGCAGGACUGUGAAGGGGACGCUGGGCAAGGCCUCCAAGCAGGCAGGGGCUCUCAAGCUGGUGCAGAUCCCAGCAGGUGCCAGGCACAUCCAGAUUGAGGAGCUGGAGAAGGUCCCCCACCACAUUGCGGUGAAGAACCAGGUCACAGGCAGCUUCAUCCUCAACCCCAAGGGCAAGGAAGCCACGAGCCGGACCUUCACCGCAAUGGGCCUGGAGUGGGAGUACGUGGUGGAGGAUGCCAAGGAGAGCCUCAAGACCAGCGGGCCCCUGCCCGAAGCCGUCACUGUCCUGGUACUCCCCCCAGCUGAAAGUGGCCCCCGCAGCAGUCUGGCCUACAAGUACAUCAUCCACGAGGACCUGCUGCCCCUUAUCGGGAGCAACAACGUGCUCCUGGAGGAGACAGACACCUACGAGUGGGCACUCAAGAGCUGGGCGCCCUGCACCAAGGCCUGCGGAGGAGGGAUCCAGUUCACCAAAUACGGCUGCCGGCGCCGACGAGAUCACCACAUGGUCCAGCGGCACCUGUGCGACCACAGGAAGAGGCCCAAGCCGAUCCGCCGGCGCUGCAACCAGCACCCGUGUGCCCAGCCAGGGUGGGUGACGGAGGAGUGGGGCACCUGCAGCCGGAGCUGUGGGAAGCUCGGGGUGCAGACUCGGGGGGUGCAGUGCCUGCUGCCCCUCACCAACGGUACUCACAAGGCCAUGCCGGCCAAGGCCUGCCCAGGGGAGCGGCCUGAGGCCCGUCGGCCCUGCCUGCGCGUCCCCUGUCCACUCCAGUGGCGGACAGGAGCCUGGUCCCAGUGUUCUGUCACCUGCGGAGAGGGCAUCCAGCAGCGGCAGGUGGUGUGCCGGACCAACGCCAACAGUCUGGGGCAGUGUGAGGGGGCCAAGCCGGACACGGUCCAGGCCUGCAGCCUGCCCGCCUGCGGAGGAAAUCUCCAGAACUCCACAGUGAAGGCUGACGUCCGGGAACUUGUGACCCCAGAGGGGCAGUGGGUGCCACAGUCUGGGCCUCUGGAUCCCAUCAACAAGAUAUCAUCCACGGAGCUCUGCGUGCAGGACAGGUCCAUCUUCUGCCAGACGGAAGAGCUCGAUCGCUACUGCUCCAUCCCUGGCUUCCACCGGCUGUGCUGCGAGUCCUGCACCAAGAAGGCCUUGAGCCUAGACCCUGGCCUGGCCUCACAACCACCCUUCUCCACUCCUGGGAGCCCCUUCUCAGCACCCGUGGCCCCUCCAGAUGCUGUGGAGCCCUCUGUGGGGCCAACAGGAUCAGACCACCGUCAGCGAGACCAACCCACACUGCUCCCAGGACCUCUGGGCACGAGUGCCCCCGUGACCCAAAGCUACUUUGCUCCCCAGAAACCAACCCCUACAGCAUUCCGGGGCACUUCCCUGAGUGCCCCCUGGGGCUGGACCGGGGCCCCUACCCCAGCCUCUGAAAACAAAGGGCUGCUCAGGGAAGACCCGAAGCACCCAGGCACCAGCCUUCCCUCCACGGCCCCAGUGACAUGAACCCCACCUCGCCCUUCCCGCCAGUCAAGUUUACAAUCUGUGCUGCCCCGAGACCCCCGGCUUAUAGGACACACAGUGGGGUGGGGACCUGCACGGACUGCCUUUUAAAUUAUUUGCCUUCUUGUCGUUCUAGUCUGGGGCCGUGACACUUUUCACCCCGUGAAAUGGGUGUGUGAGGAAGAAAAAGAUCAGGGAAAGUCCUAACCGGAGAUACCUCAGCAAGCAGCCCAGGUGACCGAACCGAACCUCUCAGGGGCUCCUGUCUGUCUCUCCUGCGGGGACUGAGGGCCUGCUACCACCCCUCCCUCACCCCCCGCCACUGGGCCCCACACUGGAUUCAUUUGCCAGGACUUGGGAGGACCCCGGUGGGGGCCCUGUCUACUGGGCCCCUCUGCCCAGAGAGGCAAAGCAGGACAGGGAAGGUGGAGGGAACACUCGCAGGUGGUCUGAGAGGAAGCGGGCUGGGGGAAUUCAGCUACACGCCUAGGGUGGGUGGGAGGCAAGUUCAUCUCAGACUCAGCUCUUUGUAACAAGAGCUGCAGACAGCUCCUCCGGCCAAGGCCAAGGAGCAGAGUCCAGCUUGAGUGUGCUGGCAGGAAGGCAGUGUCGGUGGCCAUCUCUGCACCUGCAGAUGGCACGUCCUGUGACUUCCAGUGCCUCCAGGUUACAGAUGGGCCUCCUAACCUCACCCCAGCCCCAACCCCCUGAGAAGAGAGCUCUGGACAGCCUGGAGUAUGUGUCCUCACCAUCCAGGGGAUUCCCAACUGGUGCUAGACCCCUGGCUGGACCAGGAAUGGCAACUGUGGUCAUCGCUUUGGUGCAUGAAGGGAGCACAGCCUGGAAGGUGACUUGGUGGAGCAUGCGGAGACGUGAGUUCUCAGGCUGAGCCCCAUCCGCUGUUGCCCUCUAUCAAAGACCACUCCUGCUAGAGUCAGGGGUCUUCUCUCACCUGGCUUAAGCUGGGCCAGAGGUGUAUUUGUCGUGCUGGGUAGGGGUAGGACGGUGGCCAGACUCCAAGGCUGAGGACCAGAGUCCACCCAUAGCCAGACCCUGGGGUUGACAAGGGCCAAGUGCCCCAGGGCAGGACGUGAGCCUCUGCCCCAUGGAGACACUGGCCCACCGUGCUGUAGGGCCUCAGCUGCUCCCCGCCACGUUACCUCCAAUGGCAGGUAACUUCCCUGGACCCUCCGGCUGUCUGGAAGCCACCCAGUUCCCAGGACCUCUCCCAGGGGUCCUUACUCUGAGGCAUGCAGAGGGUCUCCCAGACCCCUCAGCAGGCCGUAAGGUGCUGGCCAGUUCUUCUGUUCCCAGGGCAAAGGGGCCAUUCUGAGCCAGGCUAGAGGAAUAGGGACAGUGGGCCCUGGCCUGAAACCCCGUGGAGAAUGGAAGCCCUAGAGGGGUUCCCCAGAGGCCCUCUCCACCUGCUGCCUAUCCUCUCCCAGGGCAGCUGGGACACACACCAAAACAUUCCUGUGCGACCCAGCUCACCUGUAUCAAGUGCCUUUGAGAUCGAGAUCUUUAAAUUUUUAUGUAUUUAUUAACAUUGUCCUUGGUGUUUGUUUUGGACCCGAGAAAGUUGUGGUGUGUUUUUCUUUUUCUCUCCAUUUUAGCAAAAAAGGGACAGCAAAGCCAGAGCUCUACUGUCCUGGGCGGACGUAGACACAGAUGCACUGAGUCAAGAGACCUGCCCAAGGAAGGCAUCCAGAGCUGGAAUGUGAGCCCAGGGGGGGAUUCUGCCCUGGAGCAUCUGGACCCUACCCCCAGGAGGCCAGUGAGUGAAGGGACGUGGCCAAGUCUCCUGGGUCAGGCCGAGACAGAUGGCUCAGUGGUAAAGAAACCUGCCAAUGCAGGAGACACAGGAGUUGCAAGUUUGAUCCCUGGAGAAGGAAACGGGAGCUCGCUUCAGUACUCUUGCCUGGAAAAUCCCGUGGACAGAGAAGCCUGGUGGGCUGCAGUCCACAGGGUUGCAAAGAGUCGGACACUGAGUCACUGAGCAUGAGUGAUCUUACUGAACUGUAUCUUAUAAAUGGUUAAAAUGAUUGCAGAGCUGCUGAGAAAGAUCUUGUCUGUUCAUAGUCUACCCUCAAAAUACCCAGGGGCCAAAUCCCAGGGGUCAGCAUGCAGGAGGGUUUGCUCUAAGAAGCAGUGUCAUGGAAACCCUGCGGAGGAAUGCGGAGGAGAAGGCAGUGAUGUUGUCUAGCUGGAAAAGCUUGCAAAUGAUCAUCUGUGCCAUGUGCCUCCACUAGGAACACCUCCCUCCGUCCUCUUCUAAACUAUGAACCCUUCCUGGAUUUCUCCACCAGGAAAAUGAAGCCAGGGCGGAGAUUCGGUUGAUAGGCUGUGCCAGUUGCUACAAGACUGAGCGACUCCUGGCCAGCUCCACCUCACAUCGUCAGGAAUGAGAUCCCAGAGAUGGAGGACCCUUGCUCUGGAGCACUUCGAUGCUGCAGGGCUGAGAACAGGGCAUUUACAAGCCCAUACCCACCUGCCUACAGUAAAAGAAAUCAACACAAUAGAGACUUUUAAAAAUACUUUUGACUGUGACCAUCGUAAGAAACUCAUUUUUAUAUCGUAACCCAAUUCACACACACACGUGUGCAUUUACUUGUGUGUGUACGUGAAACUGAAGCAGUUCUUGUCCUUGUUGUAUAUGACACAUACUGAUAGUUUCAUCCUA